rnacentral:lncRNA from 1 species
ACAUCCCUCGUAAUUUGUGCCGAGUCCCGUCGAAAUGAGCGGGACGCGGAGUUGAGCAAGAUGGUAUGGGCUAUAAGUGACGAGGAGCCUCUAAAAGGUGUUAAGGGACCCGAGAGAGAGAAAUCCCAAAAUCUGGCUAAGUCCCAGAUUUUGUGCUCUCGGGGACCGGUCCCUAAAGGAAAGACCGGUCCCCGUACGCAUAGCCUGCCAGGAAAUCCUGAGGCAUUCGGUCCCUGGUGGUGAGACCGAUCCUCGGGAGACCGGUCCUGGAGAGGCAGACCGGUCCCUCGCCGCGCAGCAGCUGAAGAAGCCAGAAAAUUUGCUAAGUCCUGGAAACCCAUCGUUUGGGAACCGGUCCCUGGUCGGGAAGACCAGUCCCCGAAGGCGAAAAAUGCCCAGUCUGGGCAGAUCAAUGGGAAACAAGUUGAGGGGCUUAAGUGCAAUUGUUACAACACUAUAUAUGGUUCAUCCCCUCUCUCCCACAGCCAUUUCCACCCUUCUCACCCAUUUCCUCUCUUUCUCUCUCUAGAACCUCUCUAGAGCUUGAAGAAGAAGAAGGGGAACUUAGAGAAGAAGGUGGAUUUGGUGCUUUAGCGGUUCUAGGAGCUCUCCAACAAGAAGAAUCUUGGUGGAGCUUGGACUAGAGGUAAGUUUUGUAGGUUUUUCCUCUAGGGUUUGGAUUUUGGCUUAGGGAUUUGGAGCUUUGUGCUCCUUAGAGGCUUUAGAGGCUCUUUUGAGCCAUGAAUGCCAUGGCACCCAUGAGAGCUCAAGGUGCUCUCAUGGUGAACUCUUGGAAGUUGUGUUAGGAGCCCUAGGGUUGGUUCCAAAGGUCUAGAAACCUUACUAGAAUGCUUCUUAGAUGAUCCUAAGCUAUUGUUUGCUUAGAGUUGAGAUCGAUUCAUGGGGGAACCCUAAAUGACAUUGUUAGGGCUUGAAAAUUGGGGAUUUUGCCCUAGGAUUUUUCGGGGACGAAUUGACCCCGUAGAAACCUAAUUGGGAGUGCCCUAAACGCGUGGGACAACUCCGUUUAACAUCACGAGAAUGUUAGAGUAUAGUUCGUGUACAAAAGGGGCCUAAUAUGGCACUAUUUUGGGUUGUAGGGUGCGGAUCAUCGUUCAUCGAGUUCGGGAGAUUGUCGCGUUCGUUUUCUACUACCUCACAAGGUGGGGGGUGCACGCCGGAAUCGUUGGAUUCCCUUCUAUGUCUAUUUCUCUAUUUUUGAACAUAUGUUGUUUAGUCACUCAUGCAUAUUAGGGUUAAAUUACAUGUGAACUUUGGUUGUAUCAUUAUGUUUUCUCUAACGUAUUGGAAAGUGGAAAGAUAUGGAACCAUGAUGGACAUGUAUUGUUGGACCCUAGUGAUUGCAUGAUUGUGAGACUUGGACUUGGCAAUAGUAAAUACUUGUGACAUUGACAAUAGAGAGAUAGAUUGGCAUUGACAAGUAGGUGUUAAACAUAGGUUUAACCAUAGUGACAUUGUGACAAAAAUGUUUAGCAAGUGACAUGAACGAGUGGUAGAGAACCUAGCAUAAAGAUGGCAUUGUAACUAAUGGCUAAGCAUCCUCAAGUUGGAGAUUCGAUCGAUACUCAUGAUACGUCUUGGCUUGAGGGUGGUAGCUCCCCCUCUGUAACAACGUGAAUUCUCGAAAUCUAAGAGUUUCACUUUGUCCAGGAUCGACUAAGGGUCGAAUGGAUAAGCUUUGGAAAAGCCUAGGAUGCACGAAACCCAAGAACUGCAUUGGAAUGGAGUCCGCGAGAGCAAAUAAUGCAAUCUGCAUUUUUGGGCUGAGGUUGCUCUCGGGGACCGGUCUCUAGAGGUGAGAGACCGGUUCCAUCAGCUGAAGGCUGCGGGGUUGCUGAUGCAACCGGUCCCUGGCAGGAGAGGGACCGGUCCCAGCCUGCGACAUCAGUGAGAAGAGCCAAAAUUGGCUAAGUCCCGCGAGAUGAGCUCUCGGGGACCGGUCUCUGGUAGGCGGACCGGUCUCCGGGGGACCGGUCCCUUAGGGAAAGACCGGUUCCCAAACGCGUGCUGUCGAGGGGAGCUCUCGGGGACCGGUCCUUGGUCGGGGAGACCGGUCCCUCCGCGCGUAGAAUGCCCAGUGAGGGCUGUGUAAGAGGUGAAAAGUGGAGGGGCCUUUGGGGAUAUUGUUAUAAAAUGAGAGAGGGUAUUAGAGAGGCUAUUUCCUCUCUCUCUCUCACUCCCUCACUGCCUCUCUCUCUCCCUCUCUCUGAUCGUGCAAGGGAGGAAUAGAAGAAAAGAAAGAAAAGAGAAAAGAGAAGAAAAGAAGGAAAAGAGAAAGGAAAGGAGAAGAAGAAGAGGACCAAGGAGAAGAUCCUCUUCCUCAUCUUCAUCUUCAUCUUCUUCUUCCAUUGGAGCUCUUGGAGAGGUAAGCUUGGUGCUCCCUCUCAUGGUAGACCUUUAGGGAUAGGGUUUUGAUCUCUAAAUUUAGUUUGUUUGGAACCCUAGCAUGCUAUUUUGAUGGAUUAUACCCAAAUCAUAGAUCGAUUUGAUGGAUUUGCUAGUGAUGGCAUUCUAGGGCAUCCAAAGAGGAUUUUUGUAAAUAGAUGAGUUUGAUCUCAUUUGACCCUUCGUAAACUUAAUUGAUAGGUAACGAAACACGUUGGUGAAGUCGGUUCGGCAAUCCGACAAGCCGUUGCAGAGAUAUUGAAGAAACGGAUGCUUGGAACUUCGUUUUCGCCUGGAGGGCCGAGGCUACAUCCCUAAAUCGUGGACUUGGGUCCCGGGCACCGUAGCGGCGAGGUGAAGAUCGUUAGCACUUGAAACGGCCAAGCAGCGCGCUCUUGGGAAGCAACUGUGAGAUCGGGCCCAAACGAGUGCCGAGUGCCGCGGAAGGCCGAUUGCAAGUGUCGACGAGCAAUCGGAGAAGCUAUCUAAGGUGGGUUGUGCUUACCAAAGCGACUAGGUCGCCCUUUAUGUCUUAGCAAUGUAAUCUCAUGUUGAUGCAUAUGCAUGUAGACAAGAUUAAAUGGUGCAUUAAUAAAUAUGCAUAGAGUAAAGGCUAAAUAAAGAAUGCAUGGUAACAAUAAUGCAUAGAUGAAAAUGCUAAGUAGAAAGCACGAUGUAUGGUACAUGCAUAUAAACUAGAUGAUAACUCUAGCGUGAGCCGAGAUGAUUGGACAACUAGGUUGUCAGGUAGAUAGAGUGGCAUCUAACCUAGUGUUAAAGAACAUAGGUUAAAUAAGUGAACCUAGAGUCGAACAAUCUAGGUGUGUGGCAUCGAACCUAGUAUUAGUAAACCUAGGUCGAACUAGUAAACCUAGAAGUGGACAUCUAGGCAAAGAUGACAAGAACCUAGCAAGUAUAUCUAGGUUAAGUGACGUGGACAUAGAACCUAGAGUGUGGGAACCUAGGUUGAUAAGUAUAGUGGUAUAGCCACUAGGAUGAGCUAGGGCGAAAAUAUAGGGUUGGCUAUGGACCCUCGACCUGUGGAAAGUGGAUUCCGGAAUCCCAUGACUUGUGAUGACCCUAGCAGAAGCUGGGGCGUUUGUGCGACGACUUCGCCGCCGAGCUUGGUACCGAGGGAGGAUUGGGGGCGAUCACAUGGAGAUCACUGCCCGGGGUUUGAACCAUUGCCGUGGCGUUUGUGCGACGAUUUCGCCGCCAGGAUUGUUAAGCCAUUUGAGGAUCAGACCGCCAGAGCAGACUGAACCCAUGCUGGGUAAGUACGAUGCGGGUGCCUCCAGGUGACUGAGUCUGACAUGUACCGUUGUUGGGUAUGGUGCGACCCGUUUGCCGCCAGACAGUGUGUCACGUCUCGAGCUCACGCUGGGUAAGUGCAACGCGAUCGCCACCAGAUGGUCAAGUCAUGCGACUUAAGCCGAGCUUAGCGUGUGCGACGACUUCGCCGCUAGGGGGCUGAGACAGAAAGGGCGGUAGGCUGGUGAGCAGCCAGUGCGCAGGCUAUCCACGGAUGAUUGACUCGGAGCCGAGUCGUGUGGUUAGCUUCGUUAGGGUAGAGGAACCCUUAUGAGCUAGAGGUUAAAGGCUUGAGCUAAGGUAAUAGAGACCUUAGAUGCGAGUGGACUAAGUUGAGAUCCUAAGGUAAUAGAAACCUUAGAGUAAAGAUAUGAGCUAAGAGUAGCUAAGUAAAGCGUAGAAUCAAAUGAUCUACUAGAUGUUGCAUAGAGUUGCAUGAUUUUCAUAUCGCAUAUCGUGAGGCAUGGCAUGUAUUUCAAUUGAAUAUAUAUAUAUAUAUAUAUAUAUAUAUAUAUAUAUAUAUAUAUAUAUAUAUAUAUAUAUAUAUAUAUAUAUAUGUUGUAUAUUGUUGAACUAACAUGUUGCUGUGCCUCCUCAGACCUAUCGAUCGAGCUUUUCCCUUGGGUGGCCGUACCCACUGGGAACCAUGGAGUUGGUUCUCACCCCACGUGGUUUUGGGGUGUUUUCAGGUUGUACGUGUGCGGCGCGGUGGCGCGAGGCGAGGGCGUAGCUCAGUAGAUAGCGCCCUACCAUAGAGACCGAGGUAGCAGUACCCUGAGACAGUCUAGCUUAGGGGACUAGAAGACAAUGAAACAAUUUGUAUCAAGUUGUAAUAAAUUGUAAUAACCUAAAUUGUAUUUGGAAGCAAGUGUAAAAGAAAAUGAAAUGUAAGCUUGUAUGUGAAUGCUUGUAAUAGCUAGAAGUUUUAUGUAUUCGAUACUUCCUUUUGCAAUCUGGAUUGAUAUCCAUUCCUAGUUGGAACAUUCGUUGAUUGUUCAGAUUGCGACGCCUAGAACGAACAAGGGAGACUCUGUCCACAUAUAGAGGAAACCCCGGUCCGUUCGGCGGUCUGUCGUCGGCACCGCGACCCGGUCCAAAUUGGCGGUUGGUCGCGAGGCGUGACACCCUCAAGCGGUGAGUUUUCGAAAAUAGUCACCUUGGGAGCGAGGUCCCUGAUGACGGUCCCUAGGGGUGGUUCGAGGCCCCCUGUUAUGACGGGAUUUGGGUUAUGAGUUAUUGGGGUUAACAAAGUUAACCGGCAAGAUUGGGUAAGAGCCAAAGCUUAUUUAAGAUUCGAGCAUGCAUGCAUUUCCAUUAUCGUAUUGAAUUAUAUAUCCGCUGACUUCUUUCUUGCAGGCAUAGUAUUAG